rnacentral:rRNA from 1 species
AUUGAACGCUGGCGGCAGGCUUAACACAUGCAAGUCGAGCGGGGUGAUGGUGCUUGCACUAUCACUUAGCGGAGGACGGGUGAGUAAUGCUUAGGAAUCUGCCUAUUAGUGGGGGACAACAUCUCGAAAGGGAUGCUAAUACCGCAUACGUCCUACGGGAGAAAGCAGGGGAUCACUUGUGACCUUGCGCUAAUAGAUGACCCUAAGUCGGAUUAGCUAGUUGGUGGGGUAAAGGCCUACCAAGGCGACGAUCUGUAGCGGGUCUGAGCGGAUGAUCCGCCACACUGGGACUGAGACACGGCCCAGACUCCUACGGGAGGCAGCAGUGGGGAAUAUUGGACAAUGGGGGGAACCCUGAUCCAGCCAUGCCGCGUGUGUGAAGAAGGCCUUAUGGUUGUAAAGCACUUUAAGCGAGGAGGAGGCUCUUUUGGUUAAUACCCAAGAUGAGUGGACGUUACUCGCAGAAUAAGCACCGGCUAACUCUGUGCCAGCCGCCGCGGUAA